AUACGUAGGGGACGAGCGUUGUCCGGAAUUACUGGGCGUAAAGGGCGCGCAGGCGGAUAUUUAAGUCAGCUGUAAAAGGCAUGAGCUCAACUCAUGUAUGCGGUUGAAACUGGGUAUCUAGAGUGCUGGAGAGGUAGGCGGAAUUCUCGGUGGAGCGGUGAAAUGCGUAGAUAUCGGGAAGAACACCAGUGGCGAAGGCGGCUUACUGGCCAGCAACUGACGCUGAGGCGCGAAAGCCAGGGGAGCGAACGGGAUUAGAUACCCCGGUAGUCCUGGCCGUAAACGAUGAAUGCUAGGUGUGGGUGUCGAGAGGCAUCCGUGCCGGAGUUAACGCGAUAAGCAUUCCGCCUGGGGAGUACGAUCGCAAGAUUGAAACUCAAAUGAAUUGGCGGGG
rnacentral:rRNA from 1 species